rnacentral:rRNA from 1 species
GGUUAAGUUAGAAAGGGCGCACGGUGGAUGCCUUGGCACUAGGAGCCGAUGAAGGACGGGACGAACACCGAUAUGCUUCGGGGAGCUGUAAGCAAGCUUUGAUCCGGAGAUUUCCGAAUGGGGAAACCCACCACUCGUAAUGGAGUGGUAUCCAUAUCUGAAUACAUAGGAUAUGAGAAGGCAGACCCGGGGAACUGAAACAUCUAAGUACCCGGAGGAAGAGAAAGCAAAUGCGAUUCCCUGAGUAGCGGCGAGCGAAACGGGACCAGCCCAAACCAAGAGGCUUGCCUCUUGGGGUUGUAGGACACUCUGUACGGAGUUACAAAGGAACGAGGUAGAUGAAGAGGUCUGGAAAGGCCCGCCAUAGGAGGUAACAGCCCUGUAGUCAAAACUUCGUUCUCUCCUGAGUGGAUCCUGAGUACGGCGGAACACGUGAAAUUCCGUCGGAAUCCGGGAGGACCAUCUCCCAAGGCUAAAUACUCCCUAGUGACCGAUAGUGAACCAGUACCGUGAGGGAAAGGUGAAAAGCACCCCGGAAGGGGAGUGAAAGAGAUCCUGAAACCGUGUGCCUACAAGUAGUCAGAGCCCGUUAACGGGUGAUGGCGUGCCUUUUGUAGAAUGAACCGGCGAGUUACGAUCCCGUGCAAGGUUAAGCAGAAGAUGCGGAGCCGCAGCGAAAGCGAGUCUGAAUAGGGCGAAUUGAGUACGUGGUCGUAGACCCGAAACCAGGUGAUCUACCCAUGUCCAGGGUGAAGUUCAGGUAACACUGAAUGGAGGCCCGAACCCACGCACGUUGAAAAGUGCGGGGAUGAGGUGUGGGUAGGGGUGAAAUGCCAAUCGAACCUGGAGAUAGCUGGUUCUCUCCGAAAUAGCUUUAGGGCUAGCCUCAAGGUAAGAGUCUCGGAGGUAGAGCACUGAUUGGACUAGGGGCCCCUACCGGGUUACCGAAUUCAGUCAAACUCCGAAUGCCGAUGACUUAUCCUUGGGAGUCAGACUGCGAGUGAUAAGAUCCGUAGUCGAAAGGGAAACAGCCCAGACCGCCAGCUAAGGUCCCAAAGUAUACGUUAAGUGGAAAAGGAUGUGGAGUUGCUUAGACAACCAGGAUGUUGGCUUAGAAGCAGCCACCAUUUAAAGAGUGCGUAAUAGCUCACUGGUCGAGUGACUCUGCGCCGAAAAUGUACCGGGGCUAAACGUAUCACCGAAGCUGCGGACUGUUCUUCGAACAGUGGUAGGAGAGCGUUCUAAGGGCUGUGAAGCAAGACCGGAAGGACUUGUGGAGCGCUUAGAAGUGAGAAUGCCGGUAUGAGUAGCGAAAGAGGGGUGAGAAUCCCCUCCACCGAAUGCCUAAGGUUUCCUGAGGAAGGCUCGUCCGCUCAGGGUUAGUCGGGACCUAAGCCGAGGCCGAAAGGCGUAGGCGAUGGAUAACAGGUUGAUAUUCCUGUACCACCUCCUCACCAUUUGAGCAAUGGGGGGACGCAGGAGGAUAGGGUAAGCGCGGUAUUGGAUAUCCGCGUCCAAGCAGUUAGGCUGGGAAAUAGGCAAAUCCGUUUCCCGUGAAGGCUGAGCUGUGAUGGCGAGCGAAUUAUAGUAGCGAAGUUCCUGAUUCCACACUGCCAAGAAAAGCCUCUAGCGAGGUGAGAGGUGCCCGUACCGCAAACCGACACAGGUAGGCGAGGAGAGAAUCCUAAGGUGAUCGAGAGAACUCUCGUUAAGGAACUCGGCAAAAUGACCCCGUAACUUCGGGAGAAGGGGUGCUCUGUUAGGGUGCAAGCCCGAGAGAGCCGCAGUGAAUAGGCCCAGGCGACUGUUUAGCAAAACACAGGUCUCUGCGAAGCCGUAAGGCGAAGUAUAGGGGCUGACGCCUGCCCGGUGCUGGAAGGUUAAGAGGAGCGCUUAGCGUAAGCGAAGGUGCGAAUUGAAGCCCCAGUAAACGGCGGCCGUAACUAUAACGGUCCUAAGGUAGCGAAAUUCCUUGUCGGGUAAGUUCCGACCCGCACGAAAGGCGCAACGAUCUGGGCACUGUCUCAACGAGAGACUCGGUGAAAUUAUAGUACCUGUGAAGAUGCAGGUUACCCGCGACAGGACGGAAAGACCCCGUGGAGCUUUACUGCAGCCUGAUAUUGAAUGUUGGUACAGCUUGUACAGGAUAGGUAGGAGCCUUGGAAACCGGAGCGCCAGCUUCGGUGGAGGCAUCGGUGGGAUACUACCCUGGCUGUAUUGACCUUCUAACCCGCCGCCCUUAUCGGGCGGGGAGACAGUGUCAGGUGGGCAGUUUGACUGGGGCGGUCGCCUCCUAAAAGGUAACGGAGGCGCCCAAAGGUUCCCUCAGAAUGGUUGGAAAUCAUUCGCAGAGUGUAAAGGCACAAGGGAGCUUGACUGCGAGACCUACAAGUCGAGCAGGGACGAAAGUCGGGCUUAGUGAUCCGGUGGUUCCGCAUGGAAGGGCCAUCGCUCAACGGAUAAAAGCUACCCCGGGGAUAACAGGCUUAUCUCCCCCAAGAGUCCACAUCGACGGGGAGGUUUGGCACCUCGAUGUCGGCUCAUCGCAUCCUGGGGCUGUAGUCGGUCCCAAGGGUUGGGCUGUUCGCCCAUUAAAGCGGUACGCGAGCUGGGUUCAGAACGUCGUGAGACAGUUCGGUCCCUAUCCGUCGCGGGCGCAGGAAAUUUGAGAGGAGCUGUCCUUAGUACGAGAGGACCGGGAUGGACGCACCGCUGGUGUACCAGUUGUUCUGCCAAGGGCAUCGCUGGGUAGCUAUGUGCGGACGGGAUAAGUGCUGAAAGCAUCUAAGCAUGAAGCCCCCUCAAGAUGAGAUUUCCCAUUCCGCAAGGAAGUAAGAUCCCUGAAAGAUGAUCAGGUUGAUAGGUCUGAGGUGGAAGUGUGGCGACACAUGGAGCUGACAGAUACUAAUCGAUCGAGGACUUAACCAA